rnacentral:rRNA from 1 species
AUUGAACGCUGGCGGCAGGCCUAACACAUGCAAGUCGAACGAGUGGCGGACGGGUGGGUAAUGUCUGGGAAACUGCCUGAUGGAGGGGGAUAAAUACUGGAAACGGUAGCUAAUACCGCAUACCAUCGGAUGUGCCCAGAUGGGAUUAGCUAGAAGGUGGGGUAAAGGCUCACCUAGGCGACGAUCCCUAGCUGGUCUGAGAGGGUUAACAGCCACACUGGAAAUGAUACACGGUCCAGACUCCUACGGGAGGAAGCAGUAGGGAAUAUUGCGCAAUGGGCGCAAGCCUGAUACAGCAAUGCCGCGUGUAUGAAGAAGGUCUUCGGGUUGUAAAGUACUUUCAGCUGGGAGGCGUUACCCGCAGAAGAAGCACCGGCUAACUCCGUGCCAGCAGCCGCGGUAAUAC